rnacentral:lncRNA from 1 species
AUUGGGUGGAAAACAGUGGCUGAGUUGCUCCAGAACAAUUCCACCUCAUUUCAGGGGGGGAAAAGGAACUGAAGCAAGUGUCAGUCCUGAAGCAUCAUCCAUCCUGUUGUGUCAUGGAGGCGCCAAUAAUCAGAUUGUCACAGUUUCCAAGAAAGAAUGGAAAGAUGGAAAAUUGACAUU